rnacentral:rRNA from 1 species
UACGUAGGGUGCGAGCGUUGUCCGGAAUUAUUGGGCGUAAAGGGCUCGUAGGCGGUUUGUCGCGUCGGGAGUGAAAAUCCAGGGCUUAACUCUGGACUGGCUUUCGAUACGGGCAGACUAGAGGUAUGCAGGGGAGAACGGAAUUCCUGGUGUAGCGGUGAAAUGCGCAGAUAUCAGGAGGAACACCGGUGGCGAAGGCGGGUCUCUGGGCAACAACUGACGCUGAGGAGCGAAAGCGUGGGGAGCGAACAGG